ACUUGUUCUUCUUUCUGCUCCUUUUCAUUCUGGUAUUGUGGUGCUUUUGUUUUUUGCUUUUCUGUUUUUCUUUUAAAUGAAUGAAAUAAAUAUUAAAGAAAAGAAAAACACAGUAUGUUGUCAAUAUAAGUAUGAUCUUAACCCACUGUUGCCAAAAAACUUUCUAAAAAUAAACAUAUUUGCUCAGUAAAAACUGCAAACUACAGUUUGUAAAAUAUGAACAUGACUACAGUUUGUCUUUUAAGUUGUACAGAAAUAAGUGUACAUUUUUACCUUUUUUUUUUUUUAAGAGUAUAGGUUUCUUAUAAGAUGGUAGAGGCAUAUACUACUUUUGUGAUUUUUGUGAGCCUGUGUAUUUUUUAUUUAUUUGUGAUUGCAGAAAUGAAUGACAAGAAGCAAACGUUUCUACGUACAGCCAUCACUGAGGUCUUGCCUGACCUUCCAGAUGAGACACAAGAUAUUCUAGAAGAGAUCUUAGAAUCCAUUGGGGUGGAGACAUGUGAUGAUUUUCACUUUAAGGAAGAGGAUUUGCUGACAGCACUGAGGCCAAUUCAUGUCCGGAAAGCUCUUGUCGCUUGGAACAAGAGAUGUGAGUUUGUUAUUGCUGCAAACUCCACAAAGUGUCCUGCAAAGAAAAUCACCUGUGAAUAUAGAAACAUCUUUUUGUUGUUGUUUCUUUUUUGUUUUUCAGGGGAGACCCCGGAAAGUAACAAUUCAUCUGUUGGCACCUCACCAAGACCUCCUUCUCCAUCUUUACUGUUUCUUUCACCCAGUACUUCAUCCUUGACCUCUUCAACAAGCUACCAAAGCCCUGUGAGUGACUGCAUGGACAGUUUUAUGAUACCAUGGGAGAAUUUCCCAGAGGAACUCAUGCAGUCAUUGGAGAGAGGAAAACGACCAAGUCCUCGCCUGAGAAGGGAGAUGGUCCGGAUUGUGGUCCAUGAAAUGAUGCAAAAAACUAUUUGCAUAAGUACAAGACACUGUAUUGAUGUAGCUAAAAAGAUGGUGGCAAAAUAUCCAAAGUCUCUGCAGGACAUAAUAGGAGAUGUGAUUGGGCAUGGAUAUCACUCUCUAGUGAAGCAAUUGCAAAAUAGGAUAGACAAUGCAAAGCGAUCUACAAUCCCAAAAAUAAGAAAACGAACACAUCGCCCUGGUGAUUCUGACACAGGUGAUGUCCCCUCCAGAGCAAAGAGUGGCAAUACAGGACACCUAUGGGUGCAUCAACUGGGAUUUGAAAUUUCUUCCUCGUGGAGAAACCUCAGAAAGUCAGGAUUUAAAAAAAGAACAACUGAACAGGAUGUUUCAACAAACAGAUGCAAAUCCAGAGGAGAUCAAGCAUCUAAUGAAGUUGACUUUCUACGCACAGCAUAAGCAAGUCAAUCAGGGAAAAAAUAUUAACUGGCUCCUGGAAGAGUGCCCCUUUUGGUUCAGAGAAGUUGGCAUGGCAGUGCACUUCAAGGAGCUCACGGGUGUUGAGCUUCAAGAAAUUUUCGCACGGAAUGUUGAUCUGAAAGGAAAGCGGCUCCUGGACUACAUGAGCACUGUUGCUGUGAUGAAGAACAAGACGUUCCAGCAGGCUGUGACAAAGGUUAAAGUGAUGAGGGGGGAGAUGAGUGGUUGCUCUGAAGAUCUUAAAGAGAUUCUGCUGAUUCUGCUGGCCUACUUUGAUGAGAAAGAGAAUGUGAUGUUCUGCUACAUGGAGGACACAUGCCUGAAAGGAAAGGUGCACAUGGACCAAGUUCAAAUGACUCCAACCAUUAUUGUGUGUGGACAAUCCUGCUUUUCUGCAAAACGAUUCAUGCUGAGUAUAGACAGGCAGAUCGUACACGAUAACAUCCCCUCCUUCUUCUCUGCAUUGUGGAUGAUGUUUGGGAGUUAGUAUUGCUUUAACAUCCAUUACCCAUGCAAGCUGGCGUCAACCCUGGAGUUUCUGCAGAGGUGUUUUUUCUCCAUCAACCCAGAGAGGGGCACAAAGGUGGAGAAAACCCACACAUCCCGUCUGAACGUCAAUCCCAGAGUCCUAACAUUGAUCCAGGAACUCUGAUUAUGAGUGGCAGGGUGUCUGAGUAUGGACAGUAAGACUGGGUGCAUUUAACAAAAUGCCCUACUCUGCUAUUUUCUCCCCAGUUCUUGGGGGAGAGGAAAGUGAAAGAUAAAUACGCUGGUAAAAAUGACAAAAAUGUUAGUUGGUAUGCAGUAGUCGGUGAGUUUUACUGCUUUUGCGUUUUGUCAUACCUCCAUCUUAAUCUGAAAAGAUUUUUGAAGAUACAGUAGACAGUUGUUCUAAAUCAGGGACGGGCAACUCCAGUUCUGAGUUCCACUGUCCUGGAAGUUUUUUUUAGA